rnacentral:rRNA from 1 species
GUAACGGCGAGUGAAGCGGCAAAAGCUCAAAUUUGAAAUCUGGCUCUUUCAGGGUCCGAGUUGUAAUUUGUAGAAGAUGUUUCGGGUGUGGCUCCGGUUUAAGUUCUUUGGAAUAUUACAUCAUAGAGGGUGAGAAUCCCGUAUGUGACCGGCAGCCUUCGCCCAUGUGAAACUCUUUCGACGAGUCGAGUUGUUUGGGAAUGCAGCUCAAAAUGGGAGGUAUAUUUCUUCUAAAGCUAAAUAUAGGCCAGAGACCGAUAGCGCACAAGUAGAGUGAUCGAAAGAUGAAAAGCACUUUGGAAAGAGAGUUAAACAGUACGUGAAAUUGUUGAAAGGGAAGCGCUUGCAACCAGACUUGCACGCAGUUGAUCAUCCGGUGUUCUCACCGGGGCACUCUGCUGCGUUCAGGCCAGCAUCGGUUUCGGUGGUUGGAUAAAGGCCUUGGGAAUGUGGCUUCCUUCGGGGAGUGUUAUAGCCCUCGGUGCAAUGCAGCCUACCGGGACCGAGGACCGCGCUUCGGCUAGGAUGCUGGCGUAAUGGUUGUAAGCGACCCGUCUUGAAACACGGACCAAGGAGUCUAACAUCUAUGCGAGUGUUUGGGUGUCAAACCCAUACGCGUAAUGAAAGUGAACGGAGGUGAGAACCCUUAAGGGUGCAUCAUCGACCGGUCCUGAAGUCUUCGGAUGGAUCUGAGUAAGAGCAUAGCUGUUGGGACCCGAAAGAUGGUGAACUAUGCGUGAAUAGGGUGAAGCCAGAGGAAACUCUGGUGGAGGCUCGCAGCGGUUCUGACGUGCAAAUCGAUCGUCAAAUUUGCGCAUAGGGGCGAAAGACUUAUCGAACCAUUGAACACCUACUAGGUGGUUAAGAGGCCGCGCAGGCGGCCUAGUCCUCAGCAGAGGGCGACAUUGUCAAAUUGUUCGGGGACCUCCUGAUAACUCUCAGACUACCGCAGCCCGCCCGAAAGGGGGGUGCGCACCGGGCUAACGACCCUGGGGAUGGUAACAACGUCUGAGUAGGGAAGAUCCGCAGCCAAGUCCUACCGCCCCCCGGGGCCACGGAUGCAGUUCACAGACUUGAAGGCAGUGGGCUCCAGUACCUGGAGCUUAAGAUAAAGUCGACCCCCCAGGAGACUGGGUGGGGGGAGGAGAGUGCCCGCACUCAGAGUCCCCCG